rnacentral:rRNA from 1 species
AGAGUUUGAUCCUGGCUUAGGAUGAACGCUGGCGGCGUGCCUAACACAUGCAAGUCGAGCGAUUUACUUCGGUAAAGAGCGGCGGACGGGUGAGUAACGCGUGGGUAACCUGCCUCAUACACAUGGAUAACAUACCGAAAGGUAUGCUAAUACAGGAUAAUAUAAGAGAUUCACAUGGAUUUCUUAUCAAAGCUCCGGCGGUAUGAGAUGGACCCGCGUCUGAUUAGCUAGUUGGUAAGGUAAUGGCUUACCAAGGCGACGAUCAGUAGCCGACCUGAGAGGGUGAUCGGCCACAUUGGAACUGAGACACGGUCCAAACUCCUACGGGAGGCAGCAGUGGGGAAUAUUGCACAAUGGGCGAAAGCCUGAUGCCAGCAACGCCGCGUGAGUGAUGAAGGCCUUCGGGUCGUAAAACUCUGUCCUCAAGGAAGAUAAUGACGGUACUUGAGGAGGAAGCCCCGGCUAACUACGUGCCAGCCGCUGC